GUUUCAGGGAUUUAAUUUAAUGAUUGUGGCAGAAAAGGAAAGCAUUUGUAUUCAAGAGGAAUCAGUCAUGGCCAGGACCUACGAGUGUAUGAACUCAAAGUUCCAUCCUUGGUUCACUUUGGUGUCCAAACCCGGCAACUCCAAUAUGUGAUAUUUAUCAAGAGACCCACAGAGCAUCCUGCAAUAUGUCAUUGGAACUCCUGGAACCAACACCUUCUUCCAGAUCAGCAGAAUUUGGGUACCUCUGAGGCUUCUGGCUGAGCUGGGGCUUCUUGGGCAGCACAAACCAGGCCAAGGAGAAGAGUCAGGAACACAGCCUUCAUCUUGAGAAAGUUUUUAUUUCCUACCCUACUCAAGGAUUCCUCACAAGUUCAUCUCUACAGUUUCGUUUUGUCCUGUGGAUAUAACCUAGCCUCACUACAGUGGAAUCUGGCAACUCCAAUAUGAGAUAUUUGACAAGAAGUCCAUGGACCAUCCUGGAAUAUUUCAUUGCACCUCCAGGCUCCUAGAACUUCUUCGCCUCUUCCUCCUCAAUAUCAUUUUCCUUACCUGAAAAAACACCAGGAAGAAAGUAGAAUUUUGCUUCUCAGAACUCAGAGAAAUUUCUGAAUAUAGAACAAGAAGUUGAGUGUGCACGUCAGAUCUUCACUUGAUGUGAAUUGA